UACGUAGGGUGCAAGCGUUGUCCGGAAUUAUUGGGCGUAAAGAGCUCGUAGGCGGUUUGUCGCGUCUGCUGUGAAAACCGGAGGCUCAACCUCCGGCCUGCAGUGGGUACGGGCAGACUAGAGUGCGGUAGGGGAGAUUGGAAUUCCUGGUGUAGCGGUGGAAUGCGCAGAUAUCAGGAGGAACACCGAUGGCGAAGGCAGAUCUCUGGGCCGUAACUGACGCUGAGGGACGAAAGCUAGGGGAGCGAAUGGG
rnacentral:rRNA from 1 species